GUGUACAUACCUAAACGUUGCUUCGGCGGGAACAGACGGCCCCGUGAAACGGGCCGCCCCCGCCAGAGGACCCCUAACUCUGUUUCUAUAAUGUUUCUUCUGAGUAAAACAAGCAAAUAAAUUAAAACUUUCAACAACGGAUCUCUUGGCUCUGGCAUCGAUGAAGAACGCAGCGAAAUGCGAUAAGUAAUGUGAAUUGCAGAAUUCAGUGAAUCAUCGAAUCUUUGAACGCACAUUGCGCCCGCCAGUAUUCUGGCGGGCAUGCCUGUUCGAGCGUCAUUACAACCCUCAGGCCCCCGGGCCUGGCGUUGGGGAUCGGCGGAGCCCCCCGUGGGCACACGCCGUCCCCCAAAUACAGUGGCGGUCCCGCCGCAGCUUCCAUCGCGUAGUAGCUAACACCUCGCGACUGGAGAGCGGCGCGGCCACGCCGUAAAACACCCAACUCUUCUGAAGUUGACCUCGAAUCAGGUAGGAAUACCCGCUGAACUUAAGCAUAUCAA
rnacentral:rRNA from 1 species